rnacentral:rRNA from 1 species
CAGUCGCCGCGGUAAUACGUAGGGUGCAAGCGUUAAUCGGAUUUACUGGGCGUAAAGCGUGCGUAGGCGGCUAAUUGAGUCGGAUGUGAAAUCCCCGAGCUUAACUUGGGAAUUGCAUUCGAUACUGGUUAGCUAGAGUGUGGGAGAGGAUGGUAGAAUUCCAGGUGUAGCGGUGAAAUGCGUAGAGAUCUGGAGGAAUACCGAUGGCGAAGGCAGCCAUCUGGCCUAACACUGACGCUGAGGUACGAAAGCAUGGGGAGCAAACAGGAUUAGAUACCCCUGUAGUCCCUGUCUCUUAUAC